rnacentral:rRNA from 1 species
CGAAGGUCCCAAGCGUUAUCCGGAUUUAUUGGGUUUAAAGGGUGCGUAGGCGGCUUAUUAAGUCAGUGGUGAAAGCCCCAAGCUUAACUUGGGAACUGCCAUUGAUACUGAUGAGCUUGAGUAGAUUUGAGGCGGGCGGAAUGUGUCGUGUAGCGGUGAAAUGCUUAGAUAUGACACAGAACACCAAUUGCGUGGGCAGCUCGCUAAACUCUUACUGACGCUGAGGCACGAAAGCAUGGGGAUCAAACAGGAUUAGAUACCCUGGUAGUCCAUGCCCUAAACGAUGAUUACUCGAUGAGUGCGAUACACUGUACGCGUCUGAGCGAAAGCAUUAAGUAAUCCACCUGGGGAGUACGGUCGCAAGACUG